rnacentral:lncRNA from 1 species
UGUGUCUUGCUACAUGUACAGUGGUAAUUCAAGAUGACACUUUAGUUCUAAUAUGAGCUCAUUAUAAGCAUCCAUCUUUAAUGUUUUGGUACUUGUACGAAACUCAGGAUUAAAUGGUUUAUGACUAAAUGAUUUUUUCUGAUGAGUGCCAUAUUAAUACAUCAUUCUGUAUAUAGGUCUUCAAUUUUCACAUCGAACAUUCCCAUGUC